GCCAGGUUGAUGCAGGGCAAUCAGGAACCUCCAGGAGACUCAAGGCGAAGGAGUGGGUGUUAUCUUGGAGAUUUCUUUACCUCGGUGCAUUACUUGGAGUCUUAAUUCAAAGAGCCCCUGUGAUACGUUCUUUAGAAUAGUUUUCUUUUAACAAAGAGAAAAAGAAAAAGCAACCCCCAUGUAUAGUUUUGGAGCAUAAAUUAAGCAAGAUACAUUUGCAUUUCUUUGCUAUAAACUGUAACCCUGGCUCUCAUACACUGUGCUUUCUUUCUCCCUUUGUGAAGCUUCAUCACUUGGGAAAAGUUGCUGAUGAAGUGGCUGAGGCCAUGGUAGCUCCUGCAUCUUCUGAACUGUUCCUAAAGCAUCUUGGGCUCUACAGUAUGAGGAAAGGAAUGAGCAAGCAAACAAACAAAAAUGCCAGGCUCAACAUGGCUCUCCUGUCUUCUCCCAUUCUGUGCACGGUUAUUAGGAAGGCUGAGCAGUUGGGGGAGAGAAUGUGUCUGCCUCACUGCCGGCAGGGCAUCUUGUGGCUCUGUCCUCUAAACCUCCAAGUUUUCCCUUCCCUAAGCUAAAGCAACCCGUGUCUGUCUCCCCACUGCAGUGGGGAGUCCAAGGUCUGCUCUUCCAACGGCUCAGCUCUGCACCAGACAAGCGACAAAAAA